rnacentral:rRNA from 1 species
CCUACGGGUGGCUGCAGUGGGGAAUAUUGCACAAUGGGCGCAAGCCUGAUGCAGCCAUGCCGCGUGUGUGAAGAAGGCCUUCGGGUUGUAAAGCACUUUCAGCGGGGAGGAAGGCGUUAAGGUUAAUAACCUUGGCGAUUGACGUUACCCGCAGAAGAAGCACCGGCUAACUCCGUGCCAGCAGCCGCGGUAAUACGGAGGGUGCAAGCGUUAAUCGGAAUUACUGGGCGUAAAGCGCACGCAGGCGGUCUGUCAAGUCGGAUGUGAAAUCCCCGGGCUCAACCUGGGAACUGCAUUCGAAACUGGGAGGCUAGAGUCUUGUAGAGGGGGGUAGAAUUCCAGGUGUAGCGGUGAAAUGCGUAGAGAUCUGGAGGAAUACCGGUGGCGAAGGCGGCCCCCUGGACAAAGACUGACGCUCAGGUGCGAAAGCGUGGGGAGCAAACAGGAUUAGAUACCCUAGUAGUC